rnacentral:rRNA from 1 species
AUUGAACGCUGGCGGCAGGCCUAACACAUGCAAGUCGAACGGUAACAGGAAGAAGCUUGCUUCUUUGCUGACGAGUGGCGGACGGGUGAGUAAUGUCUGGGAAACUGCCUGAUGGAGGGGGAUAACUACUGGAAACGGUAGCUAAUACCGCAUAACGUCGCAAGACCAAAAAGGGGGACCUUCGGGCCUCUUGCCAUCGGAUGUGCCCAGAUGGGAUUAGCUAGUAGGUGGGGUAACGGCUCACCUAGGCGACGAUCCCUAGCUGGUCUGAGAGGAUGACCAGCCACACUGGAACUGAGACACGGUCCAGACUCCUACGGGAGGCAGCAGUGGGGAAUAUUGCACAAUGGGCGCAAGCCUGAUGCAGCCAUGCCGCGUGUAUGAAGAAGGCCUUCGGGUUGUAAAGUACUUUCAGCGGGGAGGAAGGGAGUAAAGUUAAUACCUUUGCUCAUUGACGUACCCGCA